AAGAUUUUAAGUUAUAUUUUAAACUAUUAACCUUCAAAGUUUAUUAAAUAAAAAUUUAUUUUAUAAAUCUUA
rnacentral:tRNA from 1 species